CCGGAAUAGCUCAGUGGUAGAGCAACAUAAGCGACUUAUUGUUUGUUACCCCUAUUUUAUAAAGGUGCCGUAGAAAAGUAUUUCUUCGCUUUGGGUGCUAGUGUUCGCAAGAACGUGCAGGUUCGAGUCCUGCUUUCGGAG
rnacentral:tRNA from 1 species